rnacentral:rRNA from 1 species
UACGUAGGGUGCAAGCGUUGUCCGGAAUUAUUGGGCGUAAAGAGCUCGUAGGCGGUUUGUUGCGUCGGCUGUGAAAUCCCGAGGCUCAACCUCGGGUCUGCAGUCGAUACGAGCAAACUAGAGUGUUGCAGGGGAGACUGGAAUUCCUGGUGUAGCGGUGAAAUGCGCAGAUAUCAGGAGGAACACCGGUGGCGAAGGCGGGUCUCUGGGCAA